rnacentral:misc_RNA from 1 species
GAUGAAGAACGUAGUGAAAUGCGAUAAGUAAUGUGAAUUGCAGAAUUCAGUGAAUCAUCGAAUCUUUGAACGCACAUUGCGCCCGCCAGCAUUCUGGCGGGCAUGCCUGUUCGAGCGUCAUUUCAACCCUCGAGCCCCCCCGGGGGCCUCGGUGUUGGGGGACGGCACACCAGCCGCCCCCGAAAUGCAGUGGCGACCUCGCCGCAGCCUCCCCUGCGUAGUAGCACACACCUCGCACCGGAGCGCGGAGACGGUCACGCCGUAAAACGCCCAACUUCUUAGAGUUGACCUCGGAUCAGGUAGGAAUACCCGCUGAACUUAAGCAUAUCAAUAAGCGGAGA